GGCAAAAUGAGAGCCCGACUGUCUCUUACAACAAAUCAAUUAAACUGAUCUCCCAGUACAAAAGCUGGGAUUCCCAUAUAAGACCAGAAGACCCUGUGAAGCUUUAACUAACCUAUUAAACCCAAUAAUAGCUAAUUUCGGUUGGGGCGACCUAGGAACAAAAAAGAACUUCCAAACACAUGACAUACGCAUGAGCAAAGGCAAACAAGCCAAAUUUGACCCAGUACAUCUGAUUAAUGGACCAAGUUACUCCAGGGAUAACAGCGCCAUCUUCUUCAAGAGCCCAUAUCAAAAAGAAGGUUUACGACCUCGAUGUUGGAUCAGGACAUCCUAGCAAUGCAACCGUUACUAAGGGUUCGUUUGUUCAACGAUUAACAGUCCCACGUGA
rnacentral:rRNA from 1 species